rnacentral:misc_RNA from 1 species
GGGUUCAAGUGAUAAUUGUGCUUGCCAUGGGGAUCUUGGGCCAAUUUUCAAUUAAAAAUUUAUGUGGAUUUAAAAACUUAAAAUUUUCCAGGAUUUGGGGGAUGGCUCUCUAGAUUUGCACAUGCUUUUUUGCAUUUGUGCAUGACUAUAUCCAAUUAGUCUGCUGGCAGGUGUAUUUUUUGUAAUAUCUGUAAGUUUUGUUGGCAUAAUAAUGGCUGAAAACUUGUAGUUCACCGUCAUUGUUGUAAGAACUGUUAUUAGAGAUUGUCUGUGUUUUCAGAUACAGACUCGAUUAUCAAUUGUUGUUGUAUUUAAACCGUGGUGUUCUUGUAUUAUUGGACUGUGCGUGUCUGUGUUACUGAAACUGUUGACAAGGGCGUAGUUCUCUAUACUGAACUCAGACUGUUAUGAAAUAAAAUAUUUCACAAAAUA